rnacentral:antisense_RNA from 1 species
GCAGUCUUUACAGCAUCUAAAGUUCCAAAAAUAGCUUGUAUUACUCUAACUAACUUAUCCCUAUCAGAAUCCACCAAAAUUGCUUUUAUAACCAAGUUAGAGAAACCUGUAUCAUGAUUUACUAUAUCAACCUCGAUUUCUCUAACCCAGCCCAGAUUUGUCAUCUUAUCCAAGAAUCCAUCAUGGAAUCGUUGAGUUAAGAAGUAUUUGACAUAUGAUCCUAACUUAUAUUUCCAAAGCUUACUCUGAUUUGGUAUUGGAAAUUCCAUUGUAAUGUAUGCUUCUGGAGUUCGAGAUUUAACUUCUAUAAAUUUCCCAAUUAAUGUAUCAUAAGGGUGAGUCACAUUUCCAGAAAACUCUUCUGGCUUUCCUGGAGUGACACCAGUACUGAAUAAGUCAGAAAACUCAUUUCUUACUAGCUCUUCUACAGUUUCUAGACUUAAACUAGUUGCAAUACUUAACACCAUUAAGUGGGGACUAUAGUAUUUUUUUUUAAACCUUAUGGCUUCCUCAUGAACUGAGAGAUUAUUCUUCGAAGGAAUCUCUCUCAAUGUUUCAUUUGUGCCAUAUGGAAAUCUAUGGAAGGCAUGAGAAGAAUUUGAAAGUUCUCGCUUUAAUUGUAGUUCUUGCAAAGAAUCAACACGUUUAAAUAUUUCAGUCAGCUCUGUAACCUGAGAAAUUGAUUCGUCCAAUGAACUCCAAGUAAUUUUUGUCUUAUCAAGUCUUUUUCUAAAAGCACUGACAGAAGACAUGAAAUACUUUGAUUUAAU